UACGAAGGGGGCUAGCGUUGCUCGGAAUCACUGGGCGUAAAGGGUGCGUAGGCGGCUUUGUAAGUUAGAGGUGAAAGCCUGGAGCUCAACUCCAGAAUUGCCUUUAAGACUGCAUCGCUUGAAUCCAGGAGAGGUGAGUGGAAUUCCGAGUGUAGAGGUGAAAUUCGUAGAUAUUCGGAAGAACACCAGUGGCGAAGGCGGCUCACUGGACUGGUAUUGACGCUGAGGUGCGAAAGCGUGGGGAGCGAACAGG
rnacentral:rRNA from 1 species